GAAUGAACGCUGGCGGCAUGCCUAACACAUGCAAGUCGAACGAUGCUUUCGGGCAUAGUGGCGCACGGGUGCGUAACGCGUGGGAAUCUGCCCUUAGGUUCGGAAUAACAGUUGGAAACGACUGCUAAUACCGGAUGAUGACGUAAGUCCAAAGAUUUAUCGCCUGAGGAUGAGCCCGCGUAGGAUUAGGUAGUUGGUGUGGUAAAGGCGCACCAAGCCGACGAUCCUUAGCUGGUCUGAGAGGAUGAUCAGCCACACUGGGACUGAGACACGGCCCAGACUCCUACGGGAGGCAGCAGUGGGGAAUAUUGGACAAUGGGCGAAAGCCUGAUCCAGCAAUGCCGCGUGAGUGAUGAAGGCCUUAGGGUUGUAAAGCUCUUUUACCCGGGAUGAUAAUGACAGUACCGGGAGAAUAAGCUCCGGCUAACUCCGU
rnacentral:rRNA from 1 species